rnacentral:rRNA from 1 species
AUUAGAGUUUGAUCAUGGCUCAGGAUGAACGCUGGCGGCGUGCCUAACACAUGCAAGUCGAGCGAUCUUCUUCGGAAGAGAGCGGCGGACGGGUGAGUAACGCGUGGGUAACCUGCCUCAUACACAUGGAUAACAUACCGAAAGGUAUGCUAAUACAAGAUGAUAUAAGAGAUUCGCAUGGAUUUCUUAUCAAAGCUCCGGCGGUAUGAGAUGGACCCGCGUCUGAUUAGCUAGUUGGUAAGGUAACGGCUUACCAAGGCGACGAUCAGUAGCCGACCUGAGAGGGUGAUCGGCCACAUUGGAACUGAGACACGGUCCAAACUCCUACGGGAGGCAGCAGUGGGGAAUAUUGCACAAUGGGCGAAAGCCUGAUGCAGCAACGCCGCGUGAGCGAUGAAGGCCUUCGGGUCGUAAAGCUCUGUCCUCAAGGAAGAUAAUGACGGUACUUGAGGAGGAAGCCCCGGCUAACUACGUGCCAGCAGCCGCGGUAAUAAU